rnacentral:rRNA from 1 species
UACGUAGGGUGCGAGCGUUGUCCGGAAUUAUUGGGCGUAAAGAGCUCGUAGGCGGCUUGUCGCGUCGUCCGUGAAAACCUGCGGCUCAACUGCAGGCUGGCGGUCGAUACGGGCAGGCUGGAGUUCGGUAGGGGAGACUGGAAUUCCUGGUGUAGCGGUGAAAUGCGCAGAUAUCAGGAGGAACACCAAUAGCGAAGGCAGCUCGCUGGGACGUUACUGACACUGAGGCGCGAAAGCGUGGGGAGCGAACAGG